UGCGAGUCAUUGUAGCAAUACAAGGCAGACGGCUCAGUAACGCGUAGUCAAUCUACCCUAUGGACGGGAAUAACCUCGGGAAACUGAGAAUAAUGCCCGACAGAACAUUAUACCUGGAACGGUUUAUGUUUCAAAUGAUUUAUCGCCGUAGGAUGGGACUGCGGCCUAUCAGUUUGUUGGUGAGGUAAUGGCCCACCAAGACUAUUACAGGUACGGGCUCUGAGAGGAGUAGCCCGGAGAUGGGUACUGAGACACGGACCCAGGCCCUAUGGGGCGCAGCAGGCGAGAAAACUUUGCAAUGUGCGAAAGCACGACAAGGUUAAUCCGAGUGGUUUCUGCUAAAGAAACCUUUUGCUAGUCCUAGAAACACUAGUGAAUAAGGGGUGGGCAAGUUCUGGUGUCAACCGCCGCGGUAAAACCAGCACCUCAAGUGGUCAGGAUGAUUAUUGGGCCUAAAGCAUCCGUAGCUCGUUUUGUAAGUUUUCGGUUAAAUCCAUACGCUUAACGUAUGGGCUGCCGGGAAUACUGCAUAACUAGGAAGUGGGAGAGGUAGACGGUACUCGGUAGGAAGGGGUAAAAUCCUUUGAUCUAUUGAUGACCACCUGUGGCGAAGGCGGUCUACCAGAACACGUUCGACGGUGAGGGAUGAAAGCUGGGGGAGCAAACCGGAUUAGAUACCCGGGUAGUCCCAGCUGUAAACUAUGCAAACUCAGUGAUGCAUUGGCUUGUGGCCAAUGCAGUGCUGCAGGGAAGCCGUUAAGUUUGCCGCCUGGGAAGUACGUACGCAAGUAUGAAACUUAAAGGAAUUGGCGGGGGAGCACCACAAGGGGUGAAGCCUGCGGU
rnacentral:rRNA from 1 species